GUCGGAGCUCUCAUCCAUCGCUGAGUCGGUGACAAAACCACAACACGAUAGCACCUGCUCCAAAUCAAGCUUCUCUGGCGCGUUCUUGCUUCACAACCGGCAUCUCCGUCUUGUUCCGUUCUCGUCGUCACCGGAAUCAAAACUGUAGAAGAGCAACCAUGGCAUUUCGACAAAAGGUAAACAAGUUUCAACAUGCUCAGAAGGGAUUGAAUGCUUCAAGGUCAAAAGACUCUCAAGUGUUAAAGAAGCUAAGAAAAGAAGCAUUCUUCUCGGAGUUGAGAAAAACGAAAAGAGACUCCAAGGCUCAAAAAGCUUCAAAUUCCACUGAAGACGAAGCUCCUGCUUGAGCUGCAGUAUCGUUUGCUUUGAGAGAUCGCAAGCUUGCAAUCUUCUUUGCAUAGUCUGUAUCAGAUGUUGUUGCAGUCUUAAUUGGGGGAUCUGGAACUUCAUCUUUCACCACCUCCCAUAGCUCUCUGUUCAUCAGUGUGGUGUGCAUCGUUACU